rnacentral:rRNA from 1 species
UACGUAGGUGGCAAGCGUUGUCCGGAAUUAUUGGGCGUAAAGCGCGCGCAGGCGGUUCCUUAAGUCUGAUGUGAAAGCCCACGGCUCAACCGUGGAGGGUCAUUGGAAACUGGGGGACUUGAGUGCAGAAGAGGAGAGCGGAAUUCCACGUGUAGCGGUGAAAUGCGUAGAGAUGUGGAGGAACACCAGUGGCGAAGGCGGCUCUCUGGUCUGUAAUUGACGCUGAGGCGCGAAAGCGUGGGGAGCAAACAGG